rnacentral:lncRNA from 1 species
AAAUAAUCGACCAAAUUUUUAAAAGAUGCUUUGAACAUGGUAUCACGCUAUACAAAGAAAAAAUUACAAUUGGUGAGAAAGUGAAGCUUGUUGGUUUUAUGGUGGCAUCUGAUGGUGUCUACGCUGACUCGUUAAAGAAUAACGAAGCCGUUAUGAAGUUUCGGAACCGAAUAAUAUUACAUUGAUACGCUUAUUUAUUGAUCUCGCUAAUCAAAUAAAACAAUUAAGAUCCUUCUUACGGAAAAGUUCACCAAUUCAUCAAAACACAAAAAAAAAAAUGGGUAAAAUGGAUCCCAUGAAACGAACAUCUUACUGCUGGUGCGUUGUUACGUCCUGAGUUAAACUACAAUCUAAAAACUGAUGCUGCUGUGAUCCUUACAAUUACGUGUAGUGAUCUGAAGAUGAAUUACAAGAUGCUGAAUUGGAAGAUCCCGAAUACCUAAAACUUGUAAAGGAUUUAAAGAGAGAAUAAGCCUAUUAAGGAGCUAAAAAAACUCAAGUUGCUCAACUAUACAACAUAAUUUGGAAAUAAAUAUAAUUAGAAGAUCAGUUACUGAUUUAUAAAGUUUAUUCCUGAGAAUGAUAGAAAAUUUAUUUUUACUAAAUGAUAUGCCGCUCACGUGGAAAUGGCUCGAAUCCGAAAAUUUUCAAAAGAUAGAUAUUAUAGCCGUUAAAUGUCGAAUGAAAUUGAACAAUUUAUUAAGCAUGAAUGUAUUACAUUUAGAUCUUCGAAACCUACACACUGAACGCUAAACUUGCAAAUCACGCAAUUGAAAUGGUGUCUACAUACUUAUUUACCCAUUUACAGUGGAUCGUUAUUCCGAAUUUACUGCGUAUUUGGAUAAUGUAUUCAUGUUAUUUUGAGUAUCCGAAAAUUAUUUGAAGUGAUGCUGGACCUCAGGGGCGUUUUAAUUUGAAGAAAUAUUGUACAGAAGAUGAUUUAGUUAUUGAGUUAAGUUUUGCAUACAAUAUUAUGCCAAUCUCGCGUUAAAAAUAUGGGUUAUUUACUACAGCAAGUUGGAUAUAAUUUGAUAAAAGUUACAAAAAGCUUAGAUGGAACAUAGAAACACACUUCGUGCUAAAAAAAGGAUUCACCCGGAUUGAUUGGUUUUAGAUCGCCAAAUAUGUAUUGAUUUACCUACUAAAGAGUGAACUAUUUCCUCACUAUCUUUUGCCGAAGGGAAUAUGCCAUGGCUCAGAAUCCCAAGUAGAAGAGAUGGGAUGUCAAAUCCAAGAUUGUUCGAAAAUAUGAAGACGGAAACUCGUAAAAAUUAA